GCCUUUGUGGAUCAGGGAAAUCAUCUCGGUUGUUUGAGUCCUCCACCACAAGUGUUUAUACCGAGAAGAUGUGGGUUCGACUCCCACCAAAGGCA